CGGUUCCGGCCGGUAGUCUGGAAACUCCACAGAGUGCGGAUUGGGGAUGAGGAGGCGAGGCAGGAAGACAAGGGGAGAUGUGAGGAGAGUGUGUGUGACUGUUACUGUGUGUCGUUGUACCGAACCGCUAAGACGCGAAGCAGGGCUUCAUUUGCGGUUAUGAUCCUGAGUACGUGAAUGGAAUUUGUGUGCCUGAGGUGUGUUACUAUGUUUGGCUGGUGUGAGGUUUCUUGAGUGUCCUCCUGUGUAUUAUGACCAUUUUCUGAACUGUGUGAGUGGGUGAGGGAGUGUGUAGGAAGCCUCAACUGAGAUUUGUGGCUAUUUUCCCGUGUGUGUGAUAUUGUUCGUGUAGGAUGCCUGUGGAUUCGUUGCUUUCACUGUGUCACAAGGUGUGUGACACUGAGGUUGUGACUAUAUGGUACUAUAUGUGGUACGUGCACUUGUGUGUUUUUGCUGCCGUUUUUGGUUUAGUUUGGGGAUGGCUGUGACUUUUAUGUCCCCUUGGUGUGAAUGAAUAUGUGUGAGUAGGUGUCCAUAUAGCCACUUUGGUGUGGGGCGUCUUUGUCCCUUUGUGACUAAAGCCACGGAAGACAUCUAUUAGUUCAGGGUCAUAUUCUGACCAGAAGUGCAACUUCCCAGCUUUUGGUUGGAGGCAGGGAUUAAGUACGAUGCUGCACUUCUCUGACCUCCCUCUCUCUGCCAUACUUGGAUGGAGACGUCCAGAAAGGAGUAAAGAAUGGUUGUUGAAUUGAACAUCAUCUACAAGGCAUCUGCAAGUACUCUGGAUUGAACUCGAGGCCUUCACACUGAGCUACAU